rnacentral:rRNA from 1 species
GAUGAACGCUGGCGGCGUGCCUAAUACAUGCAAGUCGAGCGAACGGACGAGAAGCUUGCUUCUCUGAUGUUAGCGGCGGACGGGUGAGUAACACGUGGAUAACCUACCUAUAAGACUGGGAUAACUUCGGGAAACCGUAGCUAAUACCGGAUAAUAUUUUGAACCGCAUGGUUCAAAAGUGAAAGACGGUCUUGCUGUCACUUAUAGAUGGAUCCGCGCUGCAUUAGCUAAUUGGUAAGGUAACGGCUUACCAAGGCAACGAUGCAUAGCCGACCUGAGAGGGUGAUCGGCCACACUGGAACUGAGACACGGUCCAGACUCCUACGGGAGGCAGCAGUAGGGAAUCUUCCGCAAUGGGCGAAAGCCUGACGGAGCAACGCCGCGUGAGUGAUGAAGGUCUUCGGAUCGUAAAACCCUGUUAUUAGGGAAGAACAUAUGUGUAAGUAACUGUGCACAUCUUGACGGUACCUAAUCAGAAAGCCACGGCUAACUACGUG